rnacentral:misc_RNA from 1 species
AAAAUCGAUAUCUAAAUUGAGAGCGGAAUUCUCCUUUUAUAGAUGAAGGAGAAUGCUUUACAAUGAUUAUAAAUAACUGUUACACAUGUGAAGAGUUGGAGGAGUCCAUCGAAAGUCAAAAGUGAAAAGUUGAGAUUUCCAGUUAGCCAUGUGAAAAAGUUGGCAGAGUGAGUUGGCUUUAAACUGUGGUCUUGUGAAGUCCUGCAAGAAUUCAGGAGUGCUUUAAAGCAAAGAAAUGCCAAAAUAGUCAUCCUCAUUAUCAUUUCCAAGGCUGACUGCUUCAGAUGAAGAGCUGGCUUUACUUGAAGUUGCUAAUGCAGAGAAUCUGCUAGUGAAAUAUUUUACAUAAUAGUGAAAUAUUCCUCUUUAAUCUUAGCUUGAGCAAGGAGAGCACUGGCAUGAGAUUUCUGAGCUAAGAAAGUUAAAUUUCCCUGAGUUGAUGUUGAAGCAAGUUGAGGUUGUUCUUUUACUUGUUCCUUAGACUGUUUA